CCUACGGGGGGUAGCAGUGGGGGAUAUUGCACAAUGGGGGAAACCCUGAUGCAGCGACGCCGCGUGGGUGAAGAAGCGCCUCGGCGCGUAAAGCCCUGUCAGCAGGGAAGAAAAUGACGGUACCUGAAGAAGAAGCCCCGGCUGACUACGUGCCAGCAGCCGCGGUAAUACGGGGGGGGCAAGCGUUAUCCGGAUUUACUGGGUGUAAAGGGGGCGCAGACGGCGAUGCAAGCCAGGAGUGAAAGCCCGGGGCCCAACCCCGGGACUGCUCUUGGAACUGCGUGGCUAGAGUGCAGGAGGGGCAGGCGGAAUGCCUGGUGUAGCGGUGAAAUGCGUAGAUAUCAGGAGGAACACCGGUGGCGAAGGCGGCCUGCUGGACUGCAACUGACGUUGAGGCCCGAAAGCGUGGGGAGCAAACAGGAUUAGAUACCCGAGUAGUC
rnacentral:rRNA from 1 species